rnacentral:rRNA from 1 species
UACAGAGACUGCAAGCGUUAUUCGGAUUCACUGGGCGUAAAGGGUGCGCAGGUGGCCGUGUGUGUCAGAUGUGAAAUCCCGGGGCUUAACUCCGGAACUGCGUCUGAAACUACACGGCUAGAGCAUUGGAGAGGGUAGUGGAAUUCACGGUGUAGCAGUGAAAUGCGUAGAUAUCGUGAGGAACACCAGAGGCGAAGGCGACUACCUGGACAAUAGCUGGAACAACUCGAGGCACGAAAGCGUGGGGAGCCAAAGGG